AAAGUUAGUUCGGGAAACAAAAGACGGGAAUCAUGUUUAGAUCAAAUUGUAAGUUCUCAGUAAAUAUUGACAGUUAAAUUAGAUAAAAUUAUACCAUAAAGGCUUUCAAAUCAUUCAUCGUUUAAGAUCUUUGUAAUCGCUUUUGGUUCUAAUUCACAUACGCGUUGUCAAGUUUUAGUUCGAAUUUCCUCGACGUUAAGUCUUUGUUUAUAUUCUUUAUAUUGUUUACAUUGGAUUUUAUUAUUUUUCAUAUUGUUAAUUAAUAAUACAGAGGUUAUAUUUUUAUUACAUCUUGUUUAUACCUCUGUUACGGUCACCAGAGUUUUAAAAUAUUAUACGUAAAUGAACUUAAACUUUUGUAACUGGUGACUGUUGUUUAUAGCACUUCCAUGCGACGCUCCAUUCAAUAAACUUGUAUUCAU
rnacentral:sRNA from 1 species